CAUGUAUUUCCGCUAGGGUGCUGCCCUGCCUGGAACUGGAACCACCUGCCGGGGCCUUGUCAAGUUUAUCAUCGCUCACCACAGGUGCAGGAAGCGGGCAGGGAGCAGGGCUGUCUCGCAGAGUGAGGCCACCCCACCAUGGCCCCCACCCCCAUGGCCGCCCCCAAGACCAGGAAACUGUCCCAAGUUGCAGUAACUAAGCAGAUCAGGCGUACCUGCAGGCGAGGGGUGGUCAGCCAGCCCCUGUGGCCUGCCUCCAGGACGGUCACGGUUUGCAAAGGGACCCGGUGCCUCUCCUGUUCAGAUUUCUUUUUCUCCACUUUAUUAGCUGAAUCUUAAGAGUUGACGACACUGUAAAACAUAAAACCUUUAAUUCUGCUUUUUAAAUGGAAAACCAAGCUGAGUGCAGUGGCUCAUGGCUGUAACCCCAGCACUUUGGGAGGCCGAGGUGGGCAGAUCACCUGAGGUCAGGAGUUUGAGACUAGCCUGGCCAACAUGGUGAAAACCUGUCUCUACUAAAAAUACAAAAAUUAGCCAGGCUUGGUGGCACAUGCCUGUGACCCCAGCUACUUGGGAGGCUGAGGCAGGAGAAUCACUUGAACCCAGGAGGCAGAGGUUGUAGUGAGACAAGAUUGAGCAGUUGGCAGAGUGAGACUUUGUCUCAGAAAAAAAAAAAAGAAAAGAAAAGAAAACCAAGCAGAAAUCACUUCCAGGGACCUCCCAGCCACCAUACAGGGGCAGAGCCAGCGGCCUGGGCCCAAGUCCUCCACCAGUGGCCGUGAAACUGUGGGCCGGCACCUGAUCCCUCACACCUCAGUUUCCUCACUUGGAAAUUCACGGUUCUCCACGGCAUCCCUGGUUUUUUACAUCAUGUUGCAUAGAGUCUCAGAAGCUUUGUUGUGAGCGGACGAUAUGGGCACGAUCCCAGGCACCCAGGAUGGGGACAACUUCUCUGAUUUCUCAAAUGCAAGGGAACUGGAAAAUCCAGGAGCCAUGCCCAAGCGGAUGUUCUCAAUUGGACAAAUAUUUUGCAAGUCUCCACUGUAUGCAAGCGAGGGAGGAACCACCAUGGAUUCAUCAGUGACUGCUUUCCAGGACCUUUGCACGGGCUAUCGGAGUCACCUCACAAUGACUUGGAGCAGCUGGCACUACCGUCUCCAGUUUAAAGAUGAACAAAUGGGCAUCCCCGCACAUGUGUGCUUAAUAUCAGCUAGUCCACCUGAGACCCCCUGAACAUGCACCCUGGUCCCCCACAUCACCCCCUAUCCAGUCCCACAAGAUGAAAGAAACAAUCAUGAACCAGGAAAAACUCGCCAAACUGCAGGUGAAAGUGUGCAUCGGUGGGAAAGGCACUGCCGGCCGAAAGAAGAAAGUGGUUCAUGGAACACCUGCAGCAGAUGAUAAAAACCUCAGUUCUCCUUAGAGAAGUCAGGGAUAAGCAAUAUCUCUAGUGUUGAAUUGGUGAAUGUGUUUACAGACCAAGGAACAGUGAUCCACUUUCACAACACUAAAUUUCAGGUGUCUCUGGCAGCAAACACCUUCACCAGUACAGGCGAUGCUGAGACACAGCGGCUGGCAGAAAUGCUACCCAGUGUCUGAAAGCAGCUUGUUGCAGACAGUCUCACUAGGUUAAGGAGAUCGGCUGAAACUCUGCCCAAACAAUCUGUGGAUGGAAAGGCACCACUUGCUACUGGAGGGGAGGAGGAGGAUGAAGUUCCAGAUCUUGUGAAGAAUUUUGAUGAGGCUUCCAAGAAUGAGGCAAACUGAAUCGAGCCAACUUCUGAAGAAGAUAAACCUUGAAGAAGUUACUGGGAGCUGCUCUUCUGUAUUAUGACUGCGUAUUAAGAAACUUUUGUUUAUGGAUCUGACAAAAUCUACAUCUCUAAUAUUUUUAAGCCCAAGCCCCUUGGACACUGCGGCUCUUUUCAUCUUUUUGCUUAUAUACAAUUUCAUUCUUUGCAGCUAAUUAAGCUGAGAAAGCCUGGGAAUAAAAUUUGAAACAAAGGUUAGUAAAGUCCUUUG
rnacentral:lncRNA from 13 species